CACAGCUUCAGAGUCGAGAAGGUUUCCAGCUCCAUUAGAUUAACUGUUCACAGCCUGUGGCUACAGUAGUCUGACAUCUGAUGGCAGCAGCAAAUGCCUUGACAGACUGGCACACUGAUCUUUGUGACUGCGCUGAGGAUACAAGUGUUUGUUGCUAUGGUUUCUGGUGCUGCCCUUGUCUUGCCUGCACAGUGGCAGGAAAAUUUGGAGAGAACAGCUGUUUCCCACUGUGUGAUCUAUGCAGCCCUGCCGUUCUCUCAGCAGUCUUUGGGAUACCUCUGUGUGUGCCUCCAGCAGCACUCUCUCUACGUGCUGGUAUGCGUCACAAAUUUGGCAUCAAGGGUUCUCUCUGUGUGGAUGUCCAAAUCUCCUGUUGCUGCUCCUGGUGCUCCUGGUGUCAGAUGAAGCGCGAGUUAAAUUAUCGUAAACAAAUUCCCGUUGUUGUCAAUAUGGUUAAUCAAAAUGUUACAAACGUACAACUGCAACCUGCUCCAGUGGUGGUGGCUCAUGCAUACCCAAAUCAUGCUUUCGUGAACCAUGAAGUCCAUGGCCAAACUGCUAUUAUGAACCAACCAAGAGGAUUCAUGACAGCACACUGAGCUCUGUGGCUCCUCAUCCGUCUGUUGUGUCAUGUGCAGGAGAUAUCAUUUUUAGGCCAUGCUCCUGUUUGUUUCAUUACACCAAAACCUAUUUGUAUUUAUCAGUGGAAUCCAUAGGAGUUUCAUAAUACAAUUACACUUGGUGAGUCACCCUUUCGACUGUUAGCUGUAGUUUCUAAAUAUAGGUUUACUGGAUCAAAACUUCUAUAGUAUUAACAGUGUUUCUCACACAUUUUCAUGGACAAAAUUUUAAAUCCUUUCAAGAAACCCUACAUUUUUUUCAGCUCAACCAUUUACUUAUGGUUCUUUUAUUGUUGCAGUCUGUUUAUGGGCAAGUUUCAUUCGCAAAAAUGAGUUUCCCGCUGCAAAGCUUCAAGUCCUGCUGCCAUAAAUUGGCAAAUAAAAAUGUAUGAAGUGUCAGUAAUUAUUGAAAAUAUCAAUGGCACAGCUGUCUGGAAGCAAAACGUUCUUCUUAUAAGCAAAACAUGGUCACAUCUCUUGCUUUCAAUUGUUUUAUUUAUUGUCAACAGUGCUUUGAAGAAUGAGAAACUUUUAUCAUGACGUCCAAAUUAAUUGUUUCUUGUUGACUCAAACUGAGACUUGUAGCAGACAUACUGGUAUACAUGGGAAGAGACUUACUAGUCCUCUUUAGAAGUACAGGAUAAAGUCACAUGUUAUCCAGGCUUCACUGUCUUUUUGUUUACUUAACAAGCACUUCCAUUAGCUGUUUAUACCUACCAUGUUUUUACCUGUUGUUUUAAUUCAUGUUUGUUAAAUUUGUUUGUCAUUCUUUUGUCCAAUUUAACACUUGAAUAAAAUGUAUUUGCACCAUUUUAAUCUGCAGUUGAUAUUCGUUCAGACAGUUUAUAUCUGUAACUUUUAAA